GCAGUCGAACGGCAGCACGGGCUUCGGCCUGGUGGCGAGUGGCGAACGGGUGAGUAAUAUAUCGGAACGUACCCAAGAGUGGGGGAUAACGUAGCGAAAGUUACGCUAAUACCGCAUACGAUCUAAGGAUGAAAGCAGGGGACCGCAAGGCCUUGUGCUCCUGGAGCGGCCGAUAUCUGAUUAGCUAGUUGGUGAGGUAAAGGCUUACCAAGGCGACGAUCAGUAGCUGGUCUGAGAGGACGACCAGCCACACUGGAACUGAGACACGGUCCAGACUCCUACGGGAGGCAGCAGUGGGGAAUUUUGGACAAUGGGCGCAAGCCUGAUCCAGCAAUGCCGCGUGAGUGAAGAAGGCCUUCGGGUUGUAAAGCUCUUUUGUCAGGGAAGAAACGGUAGAGGCUAAUAUCCUUUGCUAAUGACGGUACCUGAAGAAUAAGCACCGGCUAACUACGUGCCAGCAGCCGCGGUAAUACGUAGGGUGCAAGCGUUAAUCGGAAUUACUGGGCGUAAAGCGUGCGCAGGCGGUUUUGUAAGUCUGUCGUGAAAGCCCCGGGCUCAACCUGGGAAUUGCGAUGGAGACUGCAAGGCUUGAAUCUGGCAGAGGGGGGUAGAAUUCCACGUGUAGCAGUGAAAUGCGUAGAGAUGUGGAGGAACACCGAUGGCGAAGGCAGCCCCCUGGGUCAAGAUUGACGCUCAUGCACGAAAGCGUGGGGAGCAAACAGGAUUAGAUACCCUGGUAGUCCACGCCCUAAACGAUGUCUACUAGUUG
rnacentral:rRNA from 1 species